rnacentral:rRNA from 1 species
UACAGAGGGGGCAAGCGUUGUUCGGAAUUACUGGGCGUAAAGGGCGCGUAGGCGGCCCGGUAAGUCCGCUGUAAAAGUCAAAGGCUCAACCUUUGAAUGUCAGUGGAUACUGCCGGGCUAGAGUCCGGAAGAGGCGAGUGGAACUCCUGGUGUAGCGGUGGAAUGCGCAGAUAUCAGGAAGAACACCGACGGCGAAGGCAGCUCGCUGGGACGGUACUGACGCUGAGGCGCGAAAGCGUGGGGAGCGAACAGG